rnacentral:sRNA from 1 species
AAAAAGAAGAAAAGAAU